CAUGUUACCUGAGAUUAAUUCUGUUUACCUGACAGCCUGGACAAAUGUGCUGUGUGAAGGAUGUAAAUCAAAUCAGAUCUUAUCUGCUUACAUUUAAGGAGCCUGGUCAUAUUUAAUUGAAAUAUGAUCCAAUGAUUUUUUUGAUUGCUGAUUCCAAGAGAGUCUUUGUGGAAAUCCUGUUUGGCUUUUUGUCAUUUUAAUUCUCUUUUCCAUUUUCCAGAACAGUUCUCCACAGUCACUGUCCACAUGGGUCAGUGGGACCAAGAAGCACUCUGCUAAUGUGUGGACUCUGACCAGCAACAUCCAGCAAGACCCAAGCAGCAUUUUCUAUCUCCCAGCCGGAGUUUUUUGUUUGUGACUGGAGUCAGAUUUUUGUUGAAGCUGGAGGAACAGCCUCACACUUGCAGAGGUUAAUACACUCUACUGAUCCCUGAUGGGAGAAUCAUCACCUCUGCCAACAAAGAAGCCUGGUGGAUGUUUGUUUGCAGUCUGAUGAUGGGACAUCAUGCUCUGCAUCUUCAAAGUUUGUCUCUUGAUUAUUAUUCAUACACAGUAAUGUGACGUAUGCUUAUAUCUAGUAUAACGGAACCAACGUGGUGCUCUUCAUUUAUGGAGGCUGUUGAGUCUGAAUGUUGGAUGUUGUGUAUCUCGUGUUCUCUGGGCUUUGUUGUCCUCAGUCUUUUUGCAGGAUCAGAAAACAAAACCAGGAGGUCCGUAAAUGUUUCUUCUCCAAUUGGAGACCGUGACACGGGAUGCCACCUUUAGUCUUGUGAUGAAGCAAAGCUCAGGAAGAAGUGUGAUUAAAUUGUACCCACAUGUGUGCUGCUGAGAAGGAUGUACAGGGGCACCUGCAGCCAAAUCCAAGCCUCCUCAGGUUAGUUGUAGUUGCAGAAUGCUAUAGGACUGAGACAGCUGAGGCAUCAAA